UGGGGAAUUUUGGACAAUGGGCGAAAGCCUGAUCCAGCAAUGCCGCGUGUGUGAAGAAGGCCUUCGGGUUGUAAAGCACUUUUGUCCGGAAAGAAAUCCUUGGCUCUAAUACAGUCGGGGGAUGACGGUACCGGAAGAAUAAGCACCGGCUAACUACGUGCCAGCAGCCGCGGUAAUACGUAGGGUGCAAGCGUUAAUCGGAAUUACUGGGCGUAAAGCGUGCGCAGGCGGUUUGCUAAGACCGAUGUGAAAUCCCGGGCUCAACCUGGGAACUGCAUUGGUGACUGGCAGGCUAGAGUAUGGCAGAGGGGGGUAGAAUUCCACGUGUAGCAGUGAAAUGCGUAGAGAUGUGGAGGAAUACCGAUGGCGAAGGCAGCCCCCUGGGCCAAUACUGACGCUCAUGCACGAAAGCGUGGGGAGCAAACAGGAUUAGAUACCCUGGUAGUCCACGCCCUAAACGAUGUCAACUAGUUGUUGGGGAUUCAUUUCCUUAGUAACGUAGCUAACACGUGAAGUUGACCGCCUGGGGAGUACGGUCGC
rnacentral:rRNA from 1 species